rnacentral:rRNA from 1 species
CCCUUAGAUGUCCUGGGCCGCACGCGUGCUACACCGAUGCAUACAGCGAGUACUUUCCAGCUCCGCGAGGCAGCUGGUAAUCAGCAAUAUGCAUCGUGCUGGGGAUAGAUCUUUGGAAUUAUAGAUCUUGAACGAGGAAUUCCUAGUAAGCGCAAGUCAUUAGCUUGCGCUGAUUAAGUCCCUGCCCUUUGUACACACCGCCCGUCGCUCCUACCGAUUUCGAGUGAUUCGGUGAACCUUUUGGACAGCGUCUGUCCUCGUGUCAGAUGCUGAAAGUCAAGUAAACCAUAUCACUUAGAGGAAGGAGAAGUCGUAACA